AGAGUUUGAUCCUGGCUCAGAUUGAACGCUGGCGGCAUGCCUAACACAUGCAAGUCGAGCGGUAACAGGUGUAGCAAUACAUGCUGACGAGCGGCGAACGGGUGAGCAAUGCUUUGGAAUCUUCCCAGUAGUGGGGAAUAACCAGUCGAAAGAUUGGCUAAUACCGCAUACGUCUGUAAAGGGAAAGCGGGGGCUCGUAAGACCUCGCGCUAUUGGAUGAGCCAAAGUCGGAUUAGCUAGUUGGUGGGGUAAUGGCCUACCAAGGCGACAAUCCGUAGCUGGUCUGAGAGGACGACCAGCCACACCGGAACUGAGACACGGUCCGGACUCCUACGGGAGGCAGCAGUGGGGAAUAUUGGACAAUGGGGGAAACCCUGAUCCAGCGACGCCGCGUGUGUGAAGAAGGCCUGCGGGUUGUAAAGCACUUUUAGUGGGGACAAA
rnacentral:rRNA from 1 species